GAGUUUGAUCGUGGCUCAGAUUGAACGCUGGCGGCAUGCCUUACACAUGCAAGUCGAACGGCAGCACGGGAGCUUGCUCCUGGUGGCGAGUGGCGAACGGGUGAGUAAUGCAUCGGAACGUAUCCUGGAGUGGGGGAUAACGUAGCGAAAGUUACGCUAAUACCGCAUAUUCUGUGAGCAGGAAAGCGGGGGACCUUCGGGCCUCGCGCUCUUGGAGCGGCCGAUGUCGGAUUAGCUAGUUGGUGAGGUAAAGGCUCACCAAGGCGACGAUCCGUAGCAGGUCUGAGAGGAUGAUCUGCCACACUGGAACUGAGACACGGUCCAGACUCCUACGGGAGGCAGCAGUGGGGAAUUUUGGACAAUGGGGGCAACCCUGAUCCAGCCAUGCCGCGUGUGUGAAGAAGGUCUUCGGAUUGUAAGCACUUUAAGUUGGGAGGAAGGGCAGUAAGUUAAUACCUUGCUGUUUUGACGUUACCGACAGAAUAAGCACCGGCUAACU
rnacentral:rRNA from 1 species